rnacentral:rRNA from 1 species
CACGUAGGCGGUCGGCUAUGUCGGAUGUGAAAGCCUCGGGCUUAACCCGAGAAGGGCAUCCGAAACUGGCCGGCUUGAGUACGGAAGAGGGUCUCGGAAUUCCCGGUGUAGAGGUGAAAUUCGUAGAUAUCGGGAGGAACACCAGUGGCGAAGGCGGAGACCUGGGCCGAUACUGACGCUGAGGUGCGAAAGCGUGGGGAGAAC